rnacentral:rRNA from 1 species
GAUGAACGCUGGCGGCGUGCUUAACACAUGCAAGUCGAACGUGAGGGAAUAGCAAUAUUCUUGAAAGUGGCGCACGGGUGAGUAAUACGUAGGUAACCUGCCCUGGAGUGGGGGAUAACAACUGGAAACGGUUGCUAAUACCGCAUGAAGCCAAGACACUGGGAAGUGACUUGGUAAAAAACUCUGGUGCUUCAGGAGGGGCCUACGGCCGAUUAGCUAGUUGGCGGGGUAAGAGCCCACCAAGGCAGUGAUCGGUAGCUGGUCUGAGAGGACGAUCAGCCGCACGAGAACUGAGACACGGUCCCGACUCCUACGGGGGGGCAGCAGUGAGGAAUAUUGGGCAAUGGGCGGAAGCCUGACCCAGCAACGCCGCGUGGAGGAAGACGGCCUUCGGUUGUAACUCCUUUACGGGGUAAGAGGAAGGACGGUACCCGAGAAUAAGUCACGG